UACGGAGGGAGCAAGCGUUACUCGGAAUUAUUGGGCGUAAAGAGCUCGUAGGCGGUGUGUCGCGUCGGCCGUGAAAACCUGCAGCUUAACUGUGGGCUUGCGGUCGAUACGGGCAUCACUGGAGUUCGGCAGGGGAGACUGGAAUUCCUGGUGUAGCGGUGAAAUGCGCAGAUAUCAGGAGGAACACCAGUGGCGAAAGCGGCUUCCUGGUCCAGCACCGACGUUCAGGCACGAAAGCGUGGGGAGCAAACAGG
rnacentral:rRNA from 1 species